rnacentral:rRNA from 1 species
CGUGAGUAACCUGCCUUGGAGUGGGGAAUAACAGUUGGAAACAGCUGCUAAUACCGCAUAAUAUGUCUGUGUCGCAUGGCACUGGACAUCAAAGAUUUAUCGCUCUGAGAUGGACUCGCGUCUGAUUAGCUGGUUGGCGGGGUAACGGCCCACCAAGGCGACGAUCAGUAGCCGGACUGAGAGGUUGGCCGGCCACAUUGGGACUGAGACACGGCCCAGACUCCUACGGAAGGCAGCAG